UACGUAGGGUGCAGGCGUUAAUCGGAAUUACUGGGCGUAAAGGGCGCGUAGGCGGCUUAUCAAGUCAGGCGUGAAAUUCCCGGGCUCAACCUGGGGGCUGCGCUUGAUACUGAUUGGCUUGAAUGCGGGAGAGGAUAGUGGAAUUCCCAGUGUAGAGGUGAAAUUCGUAGAUAUUGGGAAGAACACCGGUGGCGAAGGCGGCUAUCUGGCCCGUAAUUGACGCUGAGGCGCGAAAGCGUGGGGAGCAAACAGG
rnacentral:rRNA from 1 species